AACUACAGCCAUGCCGCCCUGAAUAAGCCCGAUCCUGUCUGAUCUCGGGAGCUAAGCAAGGUCGGGCCUGGUUAGUACUUGGAUGGGAGACCACCGAAGAAGACCAGGUGCUGUAGGUG
rnacentral:rRNA from 1 species